rnacentral:rRNA from 1 species
CUACGGGUCGCAGCAGUGGGGAAUAUUGCACAAUGGAGGAAACUCUGAUGCAGCAACGCCGCGUGGAGGAUGACACUUUUCGGAGCGUAAACUCCUUUUAUAUAGGAAGAAGGUGACGGUACUAUAUGAAUAAGCGCCGGCUAACUCCGUGCCAGCAGCCGCGGUAAUACGGAGGGCGCAAGCGUUACUCGGAAUCACUGGGCGUAAAGAGCGUGUAGGCGGAUUAAAAAGUCAGAAGUGAAAUCCUAUAGCUUAACUAUAGAACUGCUUCUGAAACUCUUAAUCUAGAAUAUGGGAGAGGUAGAUGGAAUUUCUGGUGUAGGGGUAAAAUCCGUAGAGAUCAGAAGGAAUACCGAUUGCGAAGGCGAUCUACUAGAACAUUAUUGACGCCGAGACGCGAAAGCGUGGGGAGCAAACAGGAUUAGAUACCCUUGUAGUC